rnacentral:rRNA from 1 species
AUGCGCUCGUCAGCCUCGUCAGGAACCCCGUGUCCCUGCAGGCCACCAAGGCCGCGCUCAUCACGGCCUACUACCCCAUCUCCAGCAGCGACCGCCUGCUUCACCGACGUCGUUGUGGAGCUCGUCGUGGACACUGACAAGGGGACGAGCGAGAAGGCACUGGCCGUGCUCGAUGGCGUCUUGUGCGCCGACACCAGCCUCACGUCCGCGUGUGAGUACGCGCUGGUCAUGCCGGUGCUGGUCAAGAAGAUGUUCCGCGUGUCCGACAUGGCCAAGGAGUUUGCCCGUCUCCGUGCUCUGGCACCUCUUUUGUGCCGCGGACACCGGCGCUGGCGCGCGCUGCUACGAGGCACUGCGUGUGGGCUCCUACCGGAAGCUGCUCCAGGUGUGCUGAGGCGGCGUGACCGAGGAUCGGGCCAGCGAGCUGCUCAAUGGUUUCAGGGGCAGCGUAGAGUACAUCGAGACGAUGGACUUCAAGGGGCUCAAGAAGUCAAGAGGCCAUUUUGA